CUUGCAUAAUGGGUCAGUGACUUAAUCUAGCAUGCAAGCUUAAGCCGUUAGGUGUAGGCGAAGCGAAAGCGAGUCUGAAUAGGGCGACUGAGUAUGUUGGAUUAGACCCGAACCCCGGCGAUCUAGGCAUGACCAGGUUGAAGGUGCAGUAACAUGCACUGGAGGACCGAACCGUUGAAUGUUGAAAAAUUCUCGGAUGAGUUGUGUUUAGGGGUGAAAGGCCAAUCAAGCCGGGAAAUAGCUGGUUCUCCGCGAAAUCUAUUGAGGUAGAGCGUCAGAUGUAUGCCGAUGGGGGUAGAGCACUGGAUGGGCUAGGGCUGCGCGAGCGGUACCAAACCUAACCAAACUCCGAAUACCAUCGAGUCUUGUCUGGCAGACAGACGGCGGGUGCUAAGGUCCGUCGUCAAAAGGGAAACAGCCCUAACCUACAGCUAAGGUCCCCAAGUCAUAUCUAAGUGGGAAAGCAUGUGGGAAUCCCAAAACAACCAGGAGGUUGGCUUAGAAGCAGCCAUCCUUUAAAGAAAGCGUAACAGCUCACUGGUCUAAAUAAGGGUUCCUGCGGCGAAGAUGUAACGGGGCUAAAGAUAUGCACCGAAGCUUAGGGUUCAUAGUUUACUAUGAGCGGUAGCGGAGCGUUCCGUAAGCCGAUGAAGGUGAGGCGUGAGCCUUGCUGGAGGUAUCGGAAGUGAGAAUGCUGACAUGAGUAGCGAU
rnacentral:rRNA from 1 species